rnacentral:misc_RNA from 1 species
CAUCAAGCCUGGCUUGUCGUUGGAUAUUUUUGCGGCUGAAAUAUGCGGCAUAUCCGAAAAAUAAUGACGGUGUCGUGUUUGACCCUAAAUGCAACGAGCUUUUUUAGAGCACGCAUUGAAGUGGUUAAUCGAUUCUGGUCUCAAUUACACAUUUUUCUAAGGUUGACCUCGGAUCAGGUAGGAAUACCCGCUGAACUUAA